UACGUAGGGCGCAAGCGUUGUCCGGAAUUAUUGGGCGUAAAGAGCUCGUAGGCGGUUUGUCGCGUCUGCUGUGAAAACCUAAGGCUCAACCUUGGGCUUGCAGUGGGUACGGGCAGACUAGAGUGCGGUAGGGGUGACUGGAAUUCCUGGUGUAGCGGUGGAAUGCGCAGAUAUCAGGAGGAACACCGAUGGCGAAGGCAGGUCACUGGGCCGCAACUGACGC
rnacentral:rRNA from 1 species